UAAAAUUGUGCUUCAAGUGUAAACAAAGAUUUUUCCGGAUUUACGUCUUUUCUCAACAUCGCAUGUCGAAGAUGCAAAUUAUCAUUGAUUUGGCAGUGAACCUAUCUGUAAACUUCCGUUAAGGAACUUCUUCUAUACAACUUUGAAAAAGAAUUUAUACUAACUCGUUAGUCAAUAUAACGUCGAUGGCAAAGGUGAAGUUGAACAUCACAUCAACAGCUCUUCCGCCUUUCGAGACCACGAUUUUUACAACACUAGGAGACUGUGUGAAGCCGAAGUCAAAAGAAGCCAGAAUGGACGCCAUUCGAAAUGCUAUUGCCAGAGGAACAUUAGUAGUGCGGUGGAAUAGUGCGAGAAGAAUCGAGAAAAAUUGUUUCCGACUUGAACUCGACAUGAAAAGAAAUUUAAUUGCCCAUUUUGUAGAAUUCCUUUUUUUAGAGGGAUUGUAAUCUAGUAGCUUGAGUUGGGAUAAAACAGAAAUUUUAAUAUAUAAUUCAUAUAAUA